rnacentral:rRNA from 1 species
GGCCAAGAUACCAAGGGCACACGGUGGAUGCCUUGGCGCUAGAAGUCGAUGAAGGACGUGGUCAGCUGCGAUAAGCCUCGGGUAGGUGCGACAACCUGUGAUCCGGGGAUUUCCGAAUGGGGAAACCCGGCGGGAUUAAUCUCCCGUCACCCUUAUUCCAAGUGGAGCAAUCCUAUUAAGAUAAGGGAGAUAAGCCUGCGAACUGAAACAUCUAAGUAGCAGGAGAAAAGAAAGAAAACUCGAUUCCCUUAGUAGUGGCGAGCGAAACGGGAAUAGCCCAAACCGUAGGUCUUCGGAUCUGCGGGGUUGUAGGACCGAGCAUAACGUUCAAUUAGGGUUAGUAGAACGAUCUGGAAAGGUCGGCCAUAGAAGGUGACAGCCCUGUAUGCGAAAACCCGAACGAACCGGCUCGGCACCUGAGUAGCACGGGACACGUGAAACCCUGUGUGAAUCUGCGGGGGCCAUCCCGCAAGGCUAAAUACUCUCUAGCGACCGAUAGUGAACUAGUACCGUGAGGGAAAGGUGAAAAGUACCCCGGCGAGGGGAGUGAAAUAGAACCUGAAACCGUGUGCUUACAAACCGUUCGAGGGCUAUGCAUGAAUCAGCCUGAGAGCGUGCCUCUUGUAUAAUGAGCCAGCGAGUUAAGGUGACCGGCAAGGUUAAGGGGUUACACCCGGAGCCGCAGCGAAAGCGAGUCUGAAUAGGGCGUAUAGUCGGUUGCUUUAGACCCGAAACUAGGUGAGCUACCCAUGGGCAGGGUGAAGCGAGGGUAAAACCUCGUGGAGGUCCGAACUAUUGAGCGUUGAAAAGCUCCUGGAUGACCUGUGGGUAGGGGUGAAAAGCCAAUCGAACCUAG